UCUUCCUUCGAUCAUCGCGGGGGGACCAAAGUCUCUCCUUUGUCUCUCUCAAUCUGCCGCCCUCUCUCUCUCCUCUCCUCCUGCCGCUCUUUCUCUCUCUCUAACCUCCGUACACAUUCUGCACAUUGAAAGGAAGAAGCGCUUACAGAACAUCAGAGGUGUUGAAGAAACCGAAUAUGUAUUCGUGUUCACCGUCAAUUCUUCAGCCUCUGCAACUUUUAAAAGCCUCCAACCCACUCUUGAAAUUAUGCAGAUGGUCAUUGAUGAGCAGAACCAUGACUUGAAUUGCCAUGUUAGUUGCUUCUCAUUGUUAUCGUUGUCCUCCACAGCAUGGCCCCGCGACCACUCCGACUCACCUCCAGACGAACUCCUCCCAAGUUUCUUUUUAUUGUACUGUUGAUUAUUGUGCCACUUUGUGUUAUUGGGAUCUUUACCCAUGGACAGAAGAUCUCCUAUUUCUUCCGCCCACUUUGGGAUAACCCCCCUCCCCCUUUUGAGCACCUACCGCAUUAUUAUGCAGAGAAUGUCUCUAUGCAACACCUCUGCCACCUCCAUGGCUGGUCUGUUCGCUCCGAACCCCGCCGUGUCUUUGAUGGCAUAAUGUUCAGCAAUGAGUUGGACAUGCUCGAGAUUCGGUGGCGUGAACUCCAUCCCUAUGUGACAAAAUUUGUAAUUCUGGAAGCCAACACCACAUUCACUGGUAUUCCCAAGCCUCUUUUCUUUGCGUCAAAUCGAAACAGGUUUGCCUUUGCUGAGGGGAAAAUUGUUCAUGGUGUAUUUCCUGGGCUGGCUGCAUCCUACGGGUUACAUGAAGAUCCAUGGAGACUUGAAUCAUUGCAACGUGGGGCUAUGAAUGGAUUACUUCGUCGUGCAGGUAUUUCUAGUGGUGACCUCGUCAUUAUGUCUGACACUGAUGAGAUUCCAAGCCCUCACACUGUUAAACUCCUUCAAUGGUGUGAUGGGAUGCCUUCUGUUUUGCAUCUCGAGCUGAGAGAUUAUAUGUACUCCUUUGAAUUCCCUGUUGACUAUAGCAGCUGGCGAGCCACAAUCCACAUUUAUGGCCCGCAAACCCGCUAUCGGCAUUCCCGCCAAACUGAUCUUAUCCUGUCAGAUGCGGGAUGGCAUUGUAGUUUUUGCUUCAAACAUCUUGGCGAGUUUGUGUUCAAAAUGACCGCAUACAGCCACGCAGACCGAGUGAAACAUAAAGAUUUUCUAAAUUAUUCUAGAAUUCAAAGACUCAUUUGUCAGGGAGAUGAUCUUUUUGAUAUGUUACCCGAGGAGUAUAGUUUCCAGCAAUUGAUCAAGAAGAUGGGACCAAUACCCCGUUCGGCUUCUGCAGUUCAUCUUCCUGCUUACUUGAUAGAGAAUGCGGACAAGUACCAGUUCCUUCUCCCCGGAGGCUGUAAACGCACACCCCGAUGAGAUUUUCUUGUUGUGCUAUGCCAGGUUUUCCCAUAAGACGAGUGGAAACUACUUGUUAGUGUACCAAGUUAUUUUAGGUGGCUUUUUGCCCACAAUCCUUCCAAGUUUAAUUGAUGCCUGAGGAGUUUCUAUAGAGGUGGAAAAGAAGAGUUGGGAUCCUCGUGUGGUACUGUAUCGGAUGCAUCCCAGCGCGCACACACGUGUAAAUGUUGGGAUUUUGUGCACCUCAACGUGUGUGCUGUAUUGCAUCAGACGGAUUCCCCAACUAGAAAAAGAAACCUCUAAUGGCUUAUGCUUCCUUCUAGUUUAAUGGGAUCCAGGGUUUUUUUUUUUUUUUGGUCCUUUUCCGGGUUCUGUAUGCAAGCUGUAAGUUGUUGACUAGAAAAAAGUAAAUAAUUGGCAAUUUAUGAAUUGAUAUACAUAUAUUUUUCCAAUUAUUUGUCGCUCACAAAUAUUUGUGUGUGGG